rnacentral:tRNA from 2 species
UGGGGCGUGGCCAAGCGGCGGUAAGGCAGCAGGUUUUGAUCCUGUUAUUUCGAAGGUUCGAAUCCUUUCGUCCCAG